rnacentral:lncRNA from 1 species
CUUAUGACCAUCGGACCGCCACUCAGGGUAUCCAUCCGACAAGUCGGAAGCAUUGGUCCUUGAUAUGUUUUGUCAUACUACAGUGUUCGCACUUUAAGAGAGGUGGUAAGCUCUUGAACGUUGGAGAAACUAUGCAUGGAUAUACAUGAGAAUCUUUAGCCUCAAUCAAGAAGUGUUUCUAUAUUUAUGGCAAGUCAAGUAAAAUUGAGUUUCAAAUGCUUGUGAGAAUCGACUGAAUUGUUGUAGAGAUAUAGAUAACUGGUCCGAGCUAGUCUAGCCUUGAGUUUGACUCGUUUCGAGCUCAAUACCUAAAUCUCAAGAUUGU